CACUAUCGUUAACUGAAUACAUAGGUUAACGAGGCGAACCGGGGGAACUGAAACAUCUAAGUACCCCGAGGAAAAGAAAUCAACCGAGAUUCCCCCAGUAGCGGCGAGCGAACGGGGAGCAGCCCAGAGUCUGAAUCAGCUUGUGUGUUAGUGGAACGGUCUGGAAAGUCCGACGGUACAGGGUGAUAGUCCCGUACACCAAAAUGCACAGGCUGUGAACUCGAAGAGUAGGGCGGGACACGUGGUAUCCUGUCUGAAUAUGGGGGGACCAUCCUCCAAGGCUAAAUACUCCUGACUGACCGAUAGUGAACCAGUACCGUGAGGGAAAGGCGAAAAGAACCCCGGCGAGGGGAGUGAAAAAGAACCUGAAACCGUGUACGUACAAGCAGUGGGAGCACCUUCGGGUGUGACUGCGUACCUUUUGUAUAAUGGGUCAGCGACUUAUAUUCUGUAGCAAGGUUAACCGUAUAGGGGAGCCGCAGGGAAACCGAGUCUUAACUGGGCGUUAAGUUGCAGGGUAUAGACCCGAAACCCGGUGAUCUAGCCAUGGGCAGGUUGAAGGUUGGGUAACACUAACUGGAGGACCGAACCGACUAAUGUUGAAAAAUUAGCGGAUGACUUGUGGCUGGGGGUGAAAGGCCAAUCAAACCGGGAGAUAGCUGGUUCUCCCCGAAAGCUAUUUAGGUAGCGCCUCGUGAACUCAUCUUCGGGGGUAGAGCACUGUUUCGGCUAGGGGGUCAUCCCGACUUACCAACCCGAUGCAAACUACGAAUACCGAAGAAUGUUAUCACGGGAGACACACGGCGGGUGCUAACGUCCGUCGUGAAGAGGGAAACAACCCAGACCGCCAGCUAAGGUCCCAAAGUCAUGGUUAAGUGGGAAACGAUGUGGGAAGGCACAGACAGCCAGGAUGUUGGCUUAGAAGCAGCCAUCAUUUAAAGAAAGCGUAAUAGCUCACUGGUCGAGUCGGCCUGCGCGGAAGAUGUAACGGGGCUAAACCAUGCACCGAAGCUGCGGCAGCGACACUAUGUGUUGUUGGGUAGGGGAGCGUUCUGUAAGCCUGCGAAGGUGACCUGUGAGGGUUGCUGGAGGUAUCAGAAGUGCGAAUGCUGACAUAAGUAACGAUAAAGCGGGUGAAAAGCCCGCUCGCCGGAAGACCAAGGGUUCCUGUCCAACGU
rnacentral:rRNA from 1 species